rnacentral:rRNA from 1 species
UACGUAGGGGGCUAGCGUUGUCCGGAAUCAUUGGGCGUAAAGAGCGUGUAGGCGGCCCGGUAAGUCCGCUGUGAAAGUCGGGGGCUCAACCCUCGAAUGCCGGUGGAUACUGUCGGGCUAGAGUGCGGAAGAGGCGAGUGGAAUUCCUGGUGUAGCGGUGGAAUGCGCAGAUAUCAGGAGGAACACCCAUAGCGAAGGCAGCUUGCUGGGACGUUACUGACGCUAAGGCGCGAAAGCGUGGGGAGCGAACAGG